rnacentral:tRNA from 1 species
GCCUUCGUGGUGCAGUGGUCAGCACGCUGGGCGCGUAUUCCAGAGGUCCGUGGUUCGAGUCUCGGCGAAGGCA